rnacentral:sRNA from 1 species
ACCUAAACCCGAUUGCAGCGAGCACGAAGUGUAACGUAGUAAAGCGGAAAGCGGGGCUGAAC